rnacentral:rRNA from 1 species
UACGUAGGGACCGAGCGUUGUCCGGAAUCAUUGGGCGUAAAGAGCGUGUAGGCGGCCUUUUAAGUCCUGCGUGAAAUCCUGCGGCUCAACCGCAGACGGUCGUGGGAAACUGGAAGGCUAGAGUGCGGGAGAGGAGAGUGGAAUUCCUGGUGUAGCGGUGAAAUGCGCAGAUAUCAGGAAGAACACCCGUGGCGAAGGCGGCUCUCUGGGACGGUACUGACGCUGAGACGCGAAAGCGUGGGGAGCGAACAGG